GACGAACGCUGGCGGCGUGCUUAACACAUGCAAGUCGAGCGGUAAGGCCCUUUCGGGGGUACACGAGCGGCGAACGGGUGAGUAACACGUGGGUGACCUGCCCUCAGCUCUGGGAUAAGCCUGGGAAACCGGGUCUAAUACCGGAUAUGACUCCAUGACGCAUGUUGUGGGGUGGAAAGCCUUGUGCGGCUGAGGAUGGGCCCGCGGCCUAUCAGCUUGUUGGUGGGGGAUGGCCUACCAAGGCGACGACGGGUAGCCGGCCUGAGAGGGCGACCGGCCACACUGGGACUGAGACACGGCCCAGACUCCUACGGGAGGCAGCAGUGGGGAAUCUUGCGCAAUGGGCGAAAGCCUGACGCAGCGACGCCGCGUGAGGGAUGACGGCCUGGUU
rnacentral:rRNA from 1 species